rnacentral:misc_RNA from 1 species
GGUUUCCCCAUUCGGACAUUGCCGGAUCAAAGCUUGUUGCCAGCUCCCCGACACUUUUCGCAGGCUGCCACGUCCUUCAUCGCCUCUGACUGCCAAGGCAUCCACCGUAUACGCUUGGUCGCUUGACCAUAUAACCCCAAGUCGCCUCGGAGUUACACGUUUCAAACCACCUGUUCGUGCCUCGACACGUGUCUCGGUUCGGUUCGAACCAAGACGCUUGUCACUCGUUUGCCAGUUUUCAAAGAACACAAGAACGGCCUCAACGCCGCCUCGCUUCAAAAUCUUUUCGUGUGCUUGGAUUU